AGAGUUUGAUCCUGGCUCAGAACGUACGCUGGCGGCACGCCUAACACAUGCAAGUCGAACGAAGUAGCAAUACUUAGUGGCAGACGGGUGAGUAACAUGUAGGUAUCUACCCUUUGGCCUGGAAUAACACGAGGAAACUUGUGCUAAUACCGGAUAAGUCUUUACGGAGAAAGCUUUAUGCACCAUUGGAUGAGCCUGCACUUGAUUAGUUUGUUGGUGGGGUAAUGGCCUACCAAGACUGUGAUCAAUAGCUGAUUUGAGAGAAUGAUCAGCCACAUUGGGACUGAGACACGGCCCAAACUCCUACGGGAGGCAGCAGUGGGGAAUCUUGCACAAUGGAGGAAACUCUGAUGCAGCGAUGCCGCGUGAGUGAAGAAGGCCCUUGGGUUGUAAAGCUCUUUCGUCGGGGAAGAGAAUGACUGUACCCGAAUAAGAAGGUCCGGCUAACUUCGUGCCAGCAGCCGCGGUAAUACGAAGGGACCUAGCGUAGUUCGGAAUUACUGGGCUUAAAGAGUUCGUAGGUGGUUGAAAAAGUUAGUGGUGAAAUCCCAGAGCUUAACUCUGGAACUGCCAUUAAAACUUUUCAGCUAGAGUAUGAUAGAGGAAAGCAGAAUUUCUAGUGUAGAGGUGAAAUUCGUAGAUAUUAGAAAGAAUACCAAUUGCGAAGGCAGCUUUCUGGAUCAUUACUGACACUGAGGAACGAAAGCAUGGGUAGCGAAGAGGAUUAGAUACCCUCGUAGUCCAUGCCGUAAACGAUGUGUGUUAGACGUUGGAAAUUUAUUUUCAGUGUCGCAGCGAAAGCGAUAAACACACCGCCUGGGGAGUACGACCGCAAGGUUAAAACUCAAAUGAAUUGACGGGGACCCGCACAAGUAGUGGAGCAUGUGGUUUAAUUCGAAGAUACGCGCAGAACCUUACCAACACUUGACAUGUUCGUCGCGACUCUAAGAGAUUAGAGUUUUCGGUUCGGCCGGACGAAACACAGGUGCUGCAUGGCUGUCGUCAGCUCGUGUCGUGAGAUGUUGGGUUAAGUCCCGCAACGAGCGCAACCCUCACUUUUAGUUGCCAUCAUUAAGUUGGGCACUCUGAAAGAACUGCCAGUGAUAAGCCGGAGGAAGGUGGGGAUGACGUCAAGUCCUCAUGGCCCUUACGUGUUGGGCUACACACGUGCUACAAUGGUAUCUACAACAGGAAGCAAGACUGCGAGGUCAAGCAAAUCCUUAAAAGAUACCUCAGUUCGGAUUGCACUCUGCAACUCGAGUGCAUGAAGCUGGAAUUACUAGUAAUCGUGGAUCAGCGUGCCACGGUGAAUGCGUUCCCGGGUCUUGUACACACCGCCCGUCACACCAUGGGAGUUGGUUCUACCUUAAGGCAAGGCUUAAAACCCUUGACCACGGUAUAGUCAGCGACUGGGGUGAAGUCGUAACAAGGUAGCCAAGGG
rnacentral:rRNA from 1 species